AGUCACUGACAUUAGAUACCCCCGUAGUCCCAGCCGUAAACUAUGCUCGCUAGGUGUCAGGCAUGGCGCGACCGUGUCUGGUGCCGCAGGGAAGCCGUGAGGCGAGCCACCUGGGAAGUACGGCCGCAAGGCUGAAACUUAAAGGAAUUGGCGGGGGAGCACAACAACGGGUGGAGCCUGCGGUUUAAUUGGACUCAACGCCGGACAACUCACCGGGGACGACAGCAAUAUGUAGGCCAGGCUGAAGACCUUGCCUGAAUCGCUG
rnacentral:rRNA from 1 species